AUUGAACGCUGGCGGCAGGCCUAACACAUGCAAGUCGAGCGGGCGGCGGACGGGUGAGUAAUGUAGGGGGACUGCCCGAUAGAGGGGGAUAACAAAUGGAAACGGUGGCUAAUACCGAAUCCUGUAGGAGAACCCAUAUGGGAUUAGCUAGUCGGUGGGGUAAAGGCUCACCUAGGCGACGAUCUCUAGCUGGUCUGAGAGGAUGAUCAGCCAAACUGGGACUGAGACACGGCCCAUACUCCGACGGAGGCAGCAUUGGGGAAUAUUGCACAAUGGGCGCAUGCCUGAUGCAGCCAUGACGCGUGUAUGAAGAAGGCCUUAGGGUUGUAAAGUCCUUUCAGCGGUGAGGCGUUACCCGCAGAAGAAGCACCGGCUAACUCCGUGCCAGCAGCCGCGGUAAUUC
rnacentral:rRNA from 1 species